rnacentral:misc_RNA from 1 species
UUUCCGUAGGUGAACCUGCGGAAGGAUCAUUAAAGAGAUCAUGCCCUCACGGGUCGACCUCCCACCCUUUGUUUACAAUACCUUUGUUGCUUUGGCGGGCCCGUUUGGCCCCGCGCUGAACAACCGGCCCCGGCUGGUCAGUGCCCGCCAGAGAACCGAAAACUCUGAAUUAAAUGUCGUCUGAGUACUAUGUAAUAGUUAAAACUUUCAACAACGGAUCUCUUGGUUCUG